UAACGACCAGACAUACGCCAUAA
rnacentral:piRNA from 1 species